CUGCCUGCUUCUACUCCAGCCUCCAUCAUGUCCAUCAGGGUGACCCAGAAGGUCCUACAAGAUGUCUCCCUAUGGCCCCUGGGCCUUCAGCAGCUGCUCAUAUACCAGCGGGCCCAGUGCCCACAUCAGCUCCUCCAGCUUCUCCUGGGUGGGCAGCAGCAGCGGCUUCCAAAGUGGCCUCGGCAUGUGUCUGGGUGGGGGUUAUGCGGGGGCCAGUGGUAUGGGAGGCAUCACAGCCGUCAGGGUGAACCAAAACCUGCUGAGCUUCCUCAUUCUGGAGGUGGAUCCCAACAUCCAGGCCAUGUGCAACCAGGAGGAGGAGAUCAAAACCCUCAACGACAAGUUUGCCUCCUUCAUCAACAAGGUGCGGUUCCUGGAGCAGCAGAACAAGAUGCUGGAGACCAAGUGGAGCCUCCUGCAGCAGCAGAAGACGGUUCGGAGCAAUACAGACGGGCGGCAUGUUUGACAACUACAUCAGCAACCUUCUGCGACAGCUGGACACACUGGGCCAGGAGAAGCUGAAGCUGGAGGCGGAGCUUGGCAAUAUGCAGGGGCUGGUGGAGAACUUCAAGAAUAAGUAUGAGGAUGAGAUCAACAAGCGUACAGAGAUGGAGAAUGAAUUUGUCCUCAUCAAGAAGGAUGUGGAUGAAGCUUACAUGAACAAGGUAGAGCUGGAGUCUCGCCUGGAAGGCCUUACUGAUGAGAUCAACUUCCUCAGGCAACUGCAUGAAGAGGAGAUCUGUGAGUUGCAGUCCCAGAUGUCAGAUACAUCUGUGGUCCUGUCCAUGGACAAUAGCCACUCCCUGAACACAGAUAGCAUCAUCGUUGAGGUCUGUGCCCAGUACGAGAUCACCAACCACAGCCAGGCUGAGGCUGAGAGGAUGUACCAGACCAAGUAUUAGGAGCUGGAGGUUCUGGCUGGGAAGCAUGGGGAUGACCUAUGUCACACGAAGACAGAGACAUGCUGGAUCAUCAUCUGGCUCCAUGCCGAGAUGGAAGGUCUUACCCACUUCGUGAAGGCCAAGAGGGCUUCCCUGGAGACAGUUAUUGCGGAUGCUGAGCAGUGCGGGAACCUGGCCAUUACGGGUGCCAUGGCCAAGGUGGACGAGCUGAAUGCCGCCCUGCAGCGAGCCAAGCAGGGCAUGGCAUGGCAGCUGCGCAAGUACCAGGAGCUGAUGAAUGUCAAGCUGGCCCUGGACUUCGAGAUCACCACCUACCACAAGCUGCUGGGGGGCGAGGAGAGCCAGCUGGAGUCUGGGAUGCAGAGCAUGAGCAUCCACACAAAGACCACCAGUGGCUACUCAGGUGGGCUGAGCUCGGCCUAUAGGGGCCUCAUAAGCCCUGGCCUCAGCUGUGGCCUGAGCUUUUUCCAGCCCUGCUUUGGCUCUGGUGGGAGCUCUGGCUCCUUCAGCUGCAUCAGCUCCUCCAGGGCUGUGGUAGUGAAGAAGAUCAAGAUCUGUGAAGGGAAGCUGGUGUCCAAGUUCUCUGAUGUCCUGCCCAAGUGAACGGCCACUGCAGCCCUCCAGCCUACACCCUCGAGUGGCUGCCCCAGAGUCUGUGGGGGAGGCAGCUGUGCCAGGGAGCACAGGGAAACAGGAGACCCACCUGAGGCUCAGCCCCAGCCCCCCCAGCCCUCAGCCCACCAGCGAGGGGAGUUUACUGCCUGGGGUACCCCCUCUUACCCAUGCCCCCAACUAAAAACCAAUUCAAUUGCUUUUCCCAAAAUAAAGCCUCAGCUGGCUCUGCCAACCAAAAGAAAAAAGAGAGGAAUCAAAGUGUAUCACUAGCCAAAGAAACCACAAUUAGUAAGGGAGGAAGAAAGGAUCUACAAAACAACUAGAAAACAAUUAACA